rnacentral:rRNA from 1 species
CCCUUAGAUGUCCGGGGCCGCACGCGCGCUACACUGAGGGAAUCAGCAUGGCUUUCUCCCUGACCCGAAAGGGUUGGGAAACCCGUUGAAUCUCCUUCGUGAUAGGGAUUGGGGCUUGAAAUUGUUCCCCAUGAACGAGGAAUUCCCAGUAAGCGCGAGUCAUAAGCUCGCGUUGAUUACGUCCCUGCCCUUUGUACACACCGCCCGUCGCUACUACCGAUUGAACGGUUUAGUGAGGGCCUCGGAUUGGUCUCGGCCCGCUCUUUACCGGGCGGCGCCGCUGGUCGAGAAGACGCUCGAACUUGAUCGUUUAGAGGAAGUAAAAGUCGUAACA